GAUGAACGCUGGCGGCGUGCCUAAUACAUGCAAGCCGAGCGAACGGACGAGAAGCUUGCUUCUCUGAUGUUAGCGGCGGACGGGUGAGUAACACGUGGAUAACCUACCUAUAAGACUGGGAUAACUUCGGGAAACCGGAGCUAAUACCGGAUAAUAUUUUGAACCGCAUGGUUCAAAAGUGAAAGACGGUCUUGCUGUCACUUAUAGAUGGAUCCGCGCUGCAUUAGCUAGUUGGUAAGGUAACGGCUUACCAAGGCAACGAUGCAUAGCCGACCUGAGAGGGUGAUCGGCCACACUGGAACUGAGACACGGUCCAGACUCCUACGGGAGGCAGCAGUAGGGAAUCUUCCGCAAUGGGCGAAAGCCUGACGGAGCAACGCCGCGUGAGUGAUGAAGGUCUUCGUAUCGUAAAACUCUGUUAUUAGGGAAGAACAUAUGUGUAAGUAACUGUGCACAUCUUGACGGUACCUAAUCAGAAAGCCACGGCUAACUACGUG
rnacentral:rRNA from 1 species